GACGAACGCUGGCGGCGUGCUUAACACAUGCAAGUCGAACGGAAAGGCCCUGCUUUUGUGGGGUGCUCGAGUGGCGAACGGGUGAGUAACACGUGAGUAACCUGCCCUUGACUUUGGGAUAACUUCAGGAAACUGGGGCUAAUACCGGAUAGGAGCUCCUGCUGCAUGGUGGGGGUUGGAAAGUUUCGGCGGUUGGGGAUGGACUCGCGGGUUAUCCGCUGGUUGGUGGGGUAGUGGCUUACCAAGGCUUUGACGGGUAGCCGGCCUGGGAGGGUGACCGGCCACAUUGGGACUGAGAUAGGGCCCAGACUCCUACGGGAGGCAGCAGUGGGGAAUAUUGCACAAUGGGCGGAAGCCUGAUGCAGCAACGCCGCGUGCGGGAUGACGGCCUUCGGGUUGUAAACCGCUUUCGCAUGUGACGAAGCGUGAGUGACGGUAAUGGGUAAAGAAGCACCGGCUAACUACGUG
rnacentral:rRNA from 1 species